UGGCUGGUGUUCUAACGUAGACCCGUGAUCCGGGUUGCGGACAGUGUCUGGUGGGUAGUUUGACUGGGGCGGUCUCCUCCCAAAGAGUAACGGAGGAGCACGAAGGUUGGCUAAUCCUGGUCGGACAUCAGGAGGUUAGUGCAAUGGCAUAAGCCAGCUUGACUGCGAGCGUGACGGCGCGAGCAGGUGCGAAAGCAGGUCAUAGUGAUCCGGUGGUUCUGAAUGGAAGGGCCAUCGCUCAACGGAUAAAAGGUACUCCGGGGAUAACAGGCUGAUACCGCCCAAGAGUUCAUAUCGACGGCGGUGUUUGGCACCUCGAUGUCGGCUCAUCACAUCCUGGGGCUGAAGUAGGUCCCAAGGGUAUGGCUGUUCGCCAUUUAAAGUGGUACGCGAGCUGGGUUUAGAACGUCGUGAGACAGUUCGGUCCCUAUCUGCCGUGGGCGCUGGAGAAUUGAGGGGGGCUGCUCCUAGUACGAGAGGACCGGAGUGGACGCAUCACUGGUGUUCGGGUUGUCAUGCCAAUGGCACUGCCCGGUAGCUAAAUGCGGAAGAGAUAAGUGCUGAAAGCAUCUAAGCACGAAACUUGCCCC
rnacentral:rRNA from 2 species